rnacentral:rRNA from 1 species
UCUCUUACCCAUGUCUUUUAAGUACCUUACGUUUCCUCGGCGGGUCCGCCCGCCGAUUGGACAAUUUAAACCAUUUGCAGUUGCAAUCAGCGUCUGAAAAAACUUAAUAGUUACAACUUUCAACAACGGAUCUCUUGGUUCUGGCAUCGAUGAAGAACGCAGCGAAAUGCGAUAAGUAGUGUGAAUUGCAGAAUUCAGUGAAUCAUCGAAUCUUUGAACGCACAUUGCGCCCCUUGGUAUUCCAUGGGGCAUGCCUGUUCGAGCGUCAUUUGUACCUUCAAGCUCUGCUUGGUGUUGGGUGUUUGUCUCGCCUCUGCGUGUAGACUCGCCUCAAAACAAUUGGCAGCCGGCGUAUUGAUUUCGGAGCGCAGUACAUCUCGCGCUUUGCACUCAUAACGACGACGUCCAAAAGUACAUUUUUACACUCUUGACCUCGGAUCAGGUAGGGACACCCGCUGAACUUAAG